ACCCAGAUGAACAUGGAUUAUCAAUAAUUCGACUGACAGCUCUACCCAGGGAAGGCGCAACGUUUUAGACGACGACGGCGCGGUGGAGUCGCUGCCAUUUAGCCCGCGGCACAGGAGGGAAAAGGACGGCGAACGAGGAAUGAACUGAAGAGCAGCGUCGAAGGAAAACAAGAGUGACAGAUAGAGAGAACGCGAGGAGGGACGUGAGAGAGACCUCGUCUUCUGCCUGACCCUCGGACACCUCCUGAACGAUACCCCGUCUACGACCCCAGACCGACCCGACCACGCUUACCUGUCUU